rnacentral:misc_RNA from 1 species
GAAAAUCAAACCAUCGAGUGGGCCAUGCGGUUGAGAGUUGCUUACUAUAUUGCUGAAGCCUUGGAAUAUUGUACUACUAAAGGCCGUGCAUUGUACCAUGAUUUGAAUGCUUAUAGAGUUCUUUUUGAUGAGGGUGGCGAUCCACGACUUUCAUGUUUUGGAUUGAUGAAAAACAGUAGGGAUGGUAAGAGUUACAGCACAAAUCUGGCCUACACACCACCUGAGUAUUUGAGAAAUGGAAGGGUAACCCCUGAAAGUGUUAUUUAUAGCUUUGGUACUGUCCUCUUGGAUCUUCU